CCGCCUUGUGGAAUCAGGCCUUUAGGAACAGCCUGUAUUAGUCUUGUUGGAACAACUUGUAGCAAGUCUGUUACCGUCAUCAACCUUGUAACAAGAUGAUAACAACUUGUUCCAGACUUGUCACAACAACUGGGAACAAGCAGUGCGAACACAUCCUGAUAUCGGCUUCACAACAAUCUUGUUACAACUUGUUUGCUUAAUUUUACAAUCCACUUGCAGGCGUACGAGCUAAACUCGUCUCUCGUGGUUUACUUUGGACUCUCAGAUAAUAAAGAGGAAAUCAUCCGAGUCCUUGACAAGUAAGAUAAACAAAAUCAUUUGAUUACACACGUAAAAACGCACAAGUUGUAACAAACCUGCAGCAGACUUGUAGCAAUGCUGUUCCAACAACUUGUCAACAGGAUGUGUUCGCACUGCUUGUUCCCAGCUUGAUGACAAUUUGUUAACGGCUUAUUGACAACUUGUUACAAGGUUGUUGAGCUGAACAGACUUGUUACAAGUUGUUCCAGCAACUUGUUACCGUCCAGCAAUUCGACAAUUUGUCAGCA